rnacentral:rRNA from 1 species
UACAGAGGUCCCAAGCGUUGUUCGGAUUCAUUGGGCGUAAAGGGUGCGUAGGCGGCGCGGUAAGUCGGGUGCGAAAUCUCGGGGCUUAACUCCGAAACUGCAUUCGAUACUGCCGUGCUUGAGGACUGGAGAGGAGACUGGAAUUUACGGUGUAGCGGUGAAAUGCGUAGAUAUCGUAAGGAAGACCAGUGGCGAAGGCGGGUCUCUGGACAGUUCCUGACGCUGAGGCACGAAGGCCAGGGGAGCAAACGGG